rnacentral:lncRNA from 1 species
UGAGCUCAGAUGUAUUGACCCUGAGGUCGGGCCUCCCUAGCCUAGGAUCUUUCUUUAUGUUGAGCAGCUGAAGUGGAGAUUCGGUUCUAGCUACUUCUAAGUGAGCUCAAGUGUAUUGAUCUUGAGGUGGCUCCUCCCUAGUCUUGGAUCUUUUUGCACGUCGAGCGGCCAAAGUGAAACUUUGGCUGCACCUGCUUCUGAGUGAGCUCAGAUGUAUUAACCCUAAGGUCAGGCUU